rfam:Otolemur garnettii contig031912, whole genome shotgun sequence.
GCCAGACGUGGUGGCACGCGCUCUAGUCCCAGCUACUCAGGAGACUGAGACAGAAGGAUUGCUUGAGUGAAGGAGUUCUGAGUUGUAGUGCCCUGUGCCGAUCCGGUGUCCUGCACUAAAUUCGGCAUCAAUAUGGUGAACUCCUGGGGGUGGGGAGGUGCCACCAGGUUGCCUAAGGAGGGGUGAACUGGCCCAGGUCGGAAACGGAGCAAGUGGUGAUCAGUAGUGGGAUCAUGCCUGUGAGUAUCCACUGCACUCCAGCCUGGGCAACAUGGCAAGACACAUCUCUA